AUGUCAGUGGUUGAGUAUUGACACAGGAAGGUUUUAUUUUUUAAUAACCUUUACCAACUUGGGCUAUUUGGGAGAAUACCACACUCUACAGUGGGCUGUAUCACUAAGCAAAUAGUUCACUACUAUUUGUGGCCUACAUU